AAUUAUAAAUCGUAGAAACGUUUUAUAUGCAUCUCAAAUGAAUACUGAAGAAUUUGUACACAAUACUGCAUUUCAACUACCAUAAAUAGCCGGUCUUUCCCUUUAAGAAAUUCUCUUAAUUUUCGAACCAAGCAUUGACAGGGAUGUGGGGUAAACGAUCUGGAAAUCAGCUUCAAGAUGAUCAAGAACAGAAGAGAAGACAUGAGCACAUCACCUAUUCUCAAAUACAAAACUUUGGCAACGUUAGAAGGAUUCCUUUCCUUGAGAGAUGAAACUAAUAAAUCUCCGCCUUUCAAGGAAAAAUCCAAUAUUUUCCUAACAAAUUUCUUAAAUCUAUGAAUACAUAAAUUUUAAAUAUGUUUACUUAUAAUACUACAAAUAAACCCUCAGAAAUAUUGACAAAAUGCUGACAUGUUUGAUAUUAUAAAGCGUAAGUUGAUUAAAUAUAAAUGUAUGUUAACAUGUAGUUGUCCGUUCAGAAGUACAGGCUGAGAAAGAAAAGUAAUAGUUUUUUUUUCAUUAAGCUAUUCAAAUAUAAGCCAAACCUGUUCACCAUAACUGUAUUUAUUAAACUGUAUUAAACUAAAUUAAUGUUAUUAAUGUAUAAUUAAAGAAUGCUUUAAUGUC